AUCACCCAUCAGUCUUUCUGUGGGGAAGAUUACUGGACUGCUCUGCCGGAUGAAAUUCUGCAGACGUUUAGCCCACGGGAGCUAGCUGCAUUGCAUGCAAGGUGCGUCCAGGUAGGAUUUGUACUGGGAAUCCGACGCACACCCCAGUCGCUGGACUGUCACGGUCAGGGCUGAUUAGGGAAGGUGUCAGGGACCUUGCGGUCUAACACUGUAAAGCAGCCAAGACUGAGAGGCCAGGGCUUCUCCUCCCACUCUGCUGGUGUUCCACUAAUUGCAGCUCUCCCUAAUUAAAAGUCAGUGAUGUGGCUUUGGCAGCUGCAAGCCAGGUCCCCCAGGCGAGCCCUGGGCAGAGGCUGGGUGGCAGGGAAGGAUGGGUUCAUGCCUGGAGCCCAGCACGCUCCCUGCCAAGCCAUGGUCGGAUGCCGCAGAGGAGCCAAGCAUCCAGGAGAGUCCUCAAAAUGAGGAAUGAAAUCAGAGCCAACCUUGCCAGGGACAUGGGGCAGCCGGGGGAUGCUCCGGCCCUGAGCCGUUGUGCUGAGCUGGAGUGAAAUGCUCCGUGGCAGCUGCAAAGUUGCUUUCCAGGUAGCAACAGUGAGUCUCUGCUAACAACAGGGCUCUGCGAGCUGGGGCUCUGCGGCAGAGGUAGCAAAUCCCACGACAGACUUGUGUGAGCUGGCAACACUCUGUCUCUCCCAGGGGAAAAGAAGGGCCAGCUCGCUGCCAGGCACUUAAAAUAAGACAAAGUAAAAGCUGAUGAUCUUUAGAAGUGCAGUUUCCUGUUGGCUUGUUGGUUGCUGAUCUAACAGCUCUUUCUCCUUCCUUAUUUCCAUGUGAGGAGAACUCGGUUUUGGUUCAGGUGUGUCUUCCCAUGGGAUAAUAAUCUCUCCAAGCAAAGUCAUCCUAAGGAAAGCCAGGAGCAUCCAAACGCCAGCACGAAUGUAUAAUGAGCUGCGGACUUCCCCCUACCAUCUGAGCGCUGUUACCAGCCCGCAGCGCUCCUCCUGCCGACACCGAGCGCCUGUUCUCGCCAUCGCCCCCACACCCGGCGUCAUUAUGGUGCUGCCGUAUGGAGCGCUCCGCGGACGACGUCUUGCUCGCCAGGGCAUGACUGGGGACCUUCUCCAUCCCUCCCGCAGCGGGGACCCUCGAGCAUCCAGGACACCCCGCCGGGGCACGGGGAUCUGCCUUGCUCCAGGGCUUGCAAGCAGCCUCCGAGGCUUCUUGGGGUUACUCCCGUACCCGUGUGUUUGGCCUGAUGCAAGGCAAAAAAGGGCUUUGGGGAUUAAAUCCGGGUUCAGCCCCGUUGGGGUUGGGGAAGGCUCCUCCGGAGGGCAGCUCCAGGCAAAUAAAAGCCAUCCCUGGGGGUUCGUGGUUAACUCUGGUGCUGAGGGAUGUGCAGCACCCACCCAGGCACAGAGCAGGGUCUCAAGUUAUUAAUUACCUGGCCCAAACCCCGCGGCUGCCCCGCCUGAGAAAAGCCAUCACACCCAGCGCAUCCUUCGUAUUAGAGUCCUUUUUAUUUAGCAAAUCUCCAGAGCAUUAAAAUAAAACUCCCAUAAAACAA